GUUUUCUGUUCUGAGCCUUUGGCUUGUCAGGAUCCCUCCUUCAUUUGCCGGCAGAGAUCCUGGAAUGUCACAGUGUAUGCUGCAGCACGUACAGUUUGAGUCCUGCUCUCACUUGCCCACCUGUUCCUCUCCUGUACUGUGUGAUGGAGAUGCACAGCUCCGAGAGCUCUGCCACUGGAUUUGUUCAAAUGGACCUUGAUAGCCAUGGGGCCUGACUGAGUUGAUGAGACUCUGGGUGACUGCAAGUUUCUACUCUGAAGAUCUGAUUGUAGGCUUCAACCUAAAUUUCUAUUUUAUUCCUCUGUCUAUUUCCUUCUAAUACAUGAAAAUUAUCCUACAAAAUGGUAUUGUCUUUGAGUCUCAUGCACACCUACUUUAAUAGCAU
rnacentral:lncRNA from 1 species